rnacentral:rRNA from 1 species
GGUUCGAUUAUGGCUCGAAUUGAACGCUGGCGGGAUGCUUUACAUGCAAGUCGAACGGCAGCACGGACUUCGGUCUGGUGGCGAGUGGCGAACAGGUGAGUAAUGUAUCGGAACGUGCCUAGUAGCGGGGGAUAACUACGCGAAAGCGUAGCUAAUACCGCAUACGCCCUUCGGGGGAAAGCAGGGGACCUUCGGGCCUCGCACUAUUAGAGCGGCCGAUAUCGGAUUAGCUGGUUGGUGGGGUAACGGCUCACCAAGGCGGCGAUCCGUAGCUGGUUUGAGAGGACGACCAGCCACACUGGGACUGAGACACGGCCCAGACUCCUGGGAGGCAGCAGUGGGGAAUUUUGGACAGUGGGGAAACCCUGAUCCAGCCAUCCGGCGUGUGCAUGAAGGCCUUCGGGUUGUAAACACUUUCAGCAGGAAAAGAAACGGCGCAAGGAUAAUACCCGUGCAGCUGACGGUACCUGCAGAAUAAGCACCGGCUAACUACGUGCCUUGUGCGGUAAUACGUAGGGUGCGAAGGCGUUAAUCGGAAUUACUGGGCGUAAAGCGUGCGCAGGCGGUUCGGAAGAAGAUGCGAAAUCCCGGAAGCAACUUUGGAACUGCAUUUUUAACUACCGAGCUACAAGUGUGUCAGAGGGAGGUGGAAUUCCGCGUGCUUAGCAGUGAAAUGUAGAUAUGCGGAGAACCGCGAUGGCGAAAACGGCCUCGCAGGAUAACACUGGCGCUCAUACUACGAAAGCGUGGGAGCAAACGGGAUUGAAUGCCCUGGUAGUCCACGCCCCAAACGAUGUCAACUAGCUGUUGGAACCUUCGGGCCUUAGUAGCGCAACUAACGCUACGUGAGGUUGACCGCCUGGGAGUACAGUCGCAAGAUUAAAACUCAAAGGAAUUGACGGGGACCGCACAAGCGGUGGAUGAUGUGGAUUAAUUCGAUGCAACGCGAAAAACCUUACCUACCCUUGACAUGUCUGGAAUCCCGAAGAGAUUUGGGAGUGCUCGCAAGAGAACCGGAACACAGGUGCUGCAUGGCUGUCGUCAGCUCGUGUCGUGAGAUGUUGGGUUAGUCCUGGCAAACGCAACCCUUGUCAUUGGUUGCUGCAAAGGCACUCUAAUGAGACUGCCGGUGACAAACCGGAGGAAGGUGGGGAUGACGUCGAGUCCUCAUGGCCCUUAUGGGUGGGGCUUCACACGUCAUACAAUGGUCGGGACAGAGGGUCGCCAACCCGCGAAGAGAGGAGCCAAUCCGAAACCCGAUCGUAGUCGGAUCGCAGUCUGCAACUCGACUGCGUGAAGUCGGAAUCGCUAGUAAUCGCGGAUCGGCAUAUCGCGGUGAAUACGUUCCCGGGUCUUGUACACACCGCCCGUCUCACCUUUCAUGGGAAUUAGGUUUUGCAGAAGUAGUUAAGCCUAACCGUAAGGAGGGCGAUUACCACGGUAGGAUUCAUGACUGGGGGUGAAGUCGUAACCGUUAG